UUUCUUGCCUUUGAAGGCAGAGAUUUCUAAGAGCUGAAAUCCAGAAAAUAUAGAAAAACUGCAAAAAAAUAAAUAAAAAAUCUACUGUUUCAUAGGAGAUCGGGAAGAGCUAAAAAAUACAGAAAACAGAGAAACGACUAAAAAAAGAGAUAAAACUACUGUUUCAUUGAUUUUGCUUUGAAUUUGGGAAGUUUCGAUAUUUUUGAAACAAAUUUCCUGUUCAUCUGGAGUAGAAUGCUUUGAGUUUGGUUUGUCAAAAGCCUGGUUGAGGUACUUAGAUCUGAAUCCCAAAUAUGUAAAGAAUGAUUUAUGGGAUGUCUUUACCGAAGAGAAAUGAAUAAUUGUGCUUUCUUUUACCAGAUGUCAUCUCUUCUUAGAUUUUUUAGUUUGCUUUGUCGAGUCUUAUCUCAACAUGUCGUUUUAUCAGGCUGUUUUGAAGUUUUUAUAGUAAAGCUACAAUGGGACUAUAUGUAGUAUUUGUUGAUUUCCAUUUGUUUAAUAUCUAAGUUCUGCUGUUGUUAGAGGUGAUCGUCAGCUUGAGAUCCAUGCAUAUUGUUGCGCAGAUUUUUGAAUGUCUUGUUAGUCACAAGAUUGCUACAAUUAAGACUGAAUUGGAUGGUUAUUAUAUGACUAAGUGUGUAAUAAAAUUAAGCAUGUAUAGCUAUAUUCAGUGUGAAGUUUGAGUAAGGUUUA